rnacentral:rRNA from 1 species
GUAGUAACACGUGGGUGAUCUGCCCUGCACUUCGGGAUAAGCUUUGGAAACUGGGUCUAAUACCGGAUAGGAGCCAUCUUUAGUGUGGUGGUUGGAAAGUUUUUUCGGUGUAGGAUGAGCUCGCGGCCUAUCAGCUUGUUGGUGGGGUAAUGGCCUACCAAGGCGGCGACGGGUAGCCGGCCUGAGAGGGUGUACGGCCACAUUGGGACUGAGAUACGGCCCAG